GUUUGUUUUCUAACCUGUGAGUCGCCGCCGGUUAGCCGUGUACCGUGCAAUUUUCAGUGUAUCAUUAAUAUUGGAAUUCGUAGUGGCUGCUUGCAAAUUAAACUAUUUAGUGCAUGCAUUGAACACCGUUAGAGUCAGCUUCGAUACUCUGUGAAUGCUAACUAGAUCUGUCCAACGGUUUCUCGUUUGUUACAUUCACCGGUUAACCAUGCGAUUCCGUGCGUAUCGAUAUUAGAAAAUGUGUAUCAAUACUCGAAAUCGUCGACAGUUCAUGCCACAAGAUAAUGACAGAGAAAACCGGUAGCCAUAAUAAAUGACAAAGUAACCAGUCUGUCCGAACGAGUUUUCAAUGACCGUUAAUUACGCCAACGUAGGAUAAAUGAGAUAUAUACUGAACGUAACAUAAAAUAUAGCUUGAUUCGACAACCUAUUUUCCAUUGUCCUCAAAAUGAAGUGUACGAUAACGCGCUUGAUUCGAGAAUCUAUUUUCCAUUGUCUUCAAAAUGAAGUGUACGAUAAUGCGGUAAGUAUGCUAUUUAUAGAAAACAUUUUUAGCUUCUAACAUGUUUUUCCUCCAAAGAUCUCACGAAUAUUAAUAUUUUGUCUG